UUUUUUUUUUUUUUCGCUCUGCAACCAAUAAAGGUGAGUGGCAGAAGCACCACAAUCUUUUCUGGAACAGAAAGAAAACCUCUGCAUCGAUCUAAUCUUAGAUUUACCAUUCUAGAGUGAGAGAUAAGGAGAGGUCGAUUUUUCUUACUUAGUCUUUCCAAAUGAACUUAAACUGUUGUUACUCAUGCAUAAAAAUAUAUCCCGAGAGUUUGGUCGGGUUAAGAAAUUAAUUUUGAUUUUGUCCACCUCUCUAUCUUUUUUAAAAAAUAUAAUAGAAUCUAAUAAAGAAAAAGAAUAUACUAUAAUCGAUUAAAAAAAAGUAAUAGAAUCUAUGAAAAAAAAAAAAAGAUUGUAGAUUCUGUUAUUAGAAAAAACGAUAGUGUAACUAAUAGUGAAGGUGUAUAUUGCCCGGUAGUUUCACACACCUUAACACGAACAACGUUACACACACAUAAAUCAAGUAAUUAAUAUUAUUGAUUUUCAUUAUUCAUUAUUCACAUACAUAUCAUUUUUUGCUACUAAGUAAUCAACCAAAUUAUAUCUAUUUUAUUUGGUCCACAAGACGUUUCAACUAAUUAUGUAAUUAAUUGCAUUAACAAAAUUCUUCAAUAUUUGACCAAUAACCCACUUAAUUGUUUGGCAAUACACACACACAUAUGUGUAUAUAUAUAUAACCGCAUGGUUUUAAAGACUUAAAACUAUAAGCCUUUAAAACUGUGUAGUUUUAAAUUUUUUCCGGAUUUUCCCGCACUUUAAAAUCCAUGACCAGAAAGCUACUAUAUAUAUAUGUGUGUGUGUGUGUGUCUAGUAAUUAUUAAAUACAAUGUAAAAAUAGUAAUCGAUAAUAAUUUAGUAAUAAUGAAAAAUAAAAUAAAAACAUUUAACAGAAUUAUGAGAUCCACUGCAAAAAGGUUAUAUUUUUCACUCUUAUUAUUCAAUGUAACUCAAAGACCCAAUGUAGCUUAAAGAGAUUUCUUACAUAUUUGUUUUCCAUAUAUAAUAAGUAUUAACAUACUUGUCAUAUUUACACGAUUUUCUCGAUCAUCUUUUGAUUCUUCGAGAUCUAUCAUAUGAUUCCCAUCAAACAUAUCCCAACGUACAUACCUGAGCUCAAUUGAUUUGUCACAAGUGUAUGAUUAAUAUAUAUUCGUUGUUAUUUUCUAUCUCAUUAUUUAUCAAUCACCAUCAUGUAUUAAUUUUCUCUAUUAACUAAAAGCUCAUCAUCGCAUGGGAGCAUGGUAAGUUACAGAUUCUGUAACUUACAGCCCACCAAUUUUAAGAAGCACUGCUGGCCACCAUUUACAAGGUUUUGGUCCCACUUUUUUUGCCUAUACUUGCACAAAAUGGGUUGGCUGUAAGUUACAGAUUCUGUAACUUAGCCACACCCCAUGGCAUGUAGCUUUUUGUGCUAACAAAUUUGAAAGCAUAGCAUUAACAGUAAUAUAGACGAAAAGGCUGGUCACUAAAACGGUGCCGGAUGCCCUAGUAAGGACUGUUGGUACCAAAGAAGAAAAAAACAUCAUGAAAGUUAUUAGACACCCUUUGUCGGUUUCCCUCAUGGGAAAUUUUGCUUUUGUUCAAAUUUGAUUAACACUUGUUAAUUAACAAGAGGAAGCUUCUUUAUCAAUCCUCCUGUGUAUAAUGUUCAAAUUAACUUUUUGCUUUCAUUUGUUUACUGUAUGUAUUAUAAUAUCUUUCCCCGAAACCCUAAAUCUUUAUUAGCUUUGAUCGGGAUUAUAUUAAUAAAUAUGAGUAAUUAUUUUGUAAUCUUUAUUUAGUUUGAGUUUUCCAAUGGUUUUGUCUGCAAUGAUGAGAAUUCUAACUAACUUGGAGCAACUAACCAAAAAAAAAAAAGGCUUAACUCUUAACUGUAUUUCGAAAAGAUUACUGCAUUAGAAAUAGUAAUAGUAACCUUGAGGAAUGUUGACUCGCCAACCCAAGUAACCGAUAUUUUGCUUACUUCGAUUUUUGUCUCUUCUCUUUUAUUUUAAACUAAAACCUUCUUCUUCUUCUUCUUCUUCUUCUUCUUCUUCUUCUUCUUCUUCUUCUUCUUCUUUAAAUGAAUGACUCAUUUAAUAUGUUUAUAUGUUUGCAUAAAUUAAAUGAGACGAUGUUCCGGUGUUUUACGAAAGACAUGCAUGCUGCGUGUGUAACAAGCUAGCUAUUGUAGCCUAUUUUCUCCUGGAAAAUUGAACUACAUAUAAUAAUAAUAGCAAUAAUAAUAGCAAUAAUAAUAAUAAUAGUAGUAGUAGUAGUAAUAGUAGUAAAGUGAGCAAUUGUUUAACCGAUCUUGAAUUAAAUCGAACUGUUUAAAUGAAGUUCAAUUUGUCAAUUUUAUUUUGAUUUUUUUAUAAGGAAAAAAUAGCGAAGCCCCCUAUUGUGUCAUUCAAUUCUUUAAUGCAGUUCAAUUUAUUUAUUUUGCAUUUAAUUUUUCAAUUAAUUCUGAAAAUUUUUAGGAAUAAAUUGGAAAAUUAUAACAAUUCCCUUACUUUUUUUUUAAUAAUUUCCAUAUAUAUUUUUAAUUAAAUAUAUUCAUUUUUCCAACAUUAGACAAUCACUAAUUAUAAAAGUGUAAGAUAAAAAAAAAAAAAAAAAAAAAAGGNNNNNNNNNNNNNNNNNNNNNNNNNNNNNNNNNNNNNNNNNNNNNNNNNNNNNNNNNNNNNNNNNNNNNNNNNNNNNNNNNNNNNNNNNNNNNNNNNNNNNNNAAAAAAAAAAAAAAAAAAAAAAAAAAGGUUGAUAUGAGAGGGGUUUCAAUGGGAGCUUCGCUCUUUCUCCUUUUUGUGUAGUGACACAGACUGAAUAGAGAACCCUACUGUUUUGGGCAACAAUGCCCGCCCCUACGAAAAUCAAUAAAAACUUUUUCUGUUUAAUCAAAUGAUUUUGAUGCUCGCAUUGUGUAGUUUCAUACGAUAUGCUUUUCCUUUAAAGAGAAAAUUGAAAUAAUAUACAAACAAUGUUGUUUCUAGUGCGAGACCAUUGCAUGCAGCUGUGACUCAUCUCAUGUAAAAUACUUUAUGCAUGAUAAAGGAUUGAAACUAAAAAUUAAACCUAAAAGGAAAAGGAGCAUGAGAAUGACCAGAGAUGUAUGUCUUGUGAGAAUGAAGCAGAUACAUAUAAAGCAAUGGCAUCGAGAAUAUAUUUGAGUUCUAUAUAUACAGAUCAAACGAUACGGAUAUGAAUUAUCACUUCAAAUCAAUAUAGCUUCAUGAAUCAUUUUGCAAGAAAGCAGAAAGAUUUGACAAGUAUCGUCAUAUAUAAAAUAAAGUACAGAUUUACUGUUUAAGUAGCAGUUCAAUAGAUAAAGUUUUUGCCAUGCAUGCACGGCAUUAUGUCAUAGCUGUGAGGAAACCCUAAAGUAAUUAAAUUGCUAAUCUUCAAGACCUAAUUAAAACCCUAAUUCUCUCAUACUUGGGAACUUAAAUAAUUAAUUUAUAUUAGGUCCCUUAAAAAUAAUAUCUACGUUAGAAGAACAUUAAUUCACCCGUAUGGUGAAUUUCUUCCUUGUUGCAUGCCACCAGUAUUCAUCAUAGCUGGGUUCAUCCGCUCCGUUGAAAUUGGUGUUCUUCGCGGCGAUGGCCUUUCAAGCUUCGCUGAUGAUGCUUCAAAUUUCUUCUCACUACUCACGGCAUCUCCAGAGAGCACCGGCUUUGUUUCAUAAAUAUCUGAGAUUGAAUCCAAAUCAUUUGAUGGCGGUGCAAUCUGAAUCUGGUCACCCUUGAAAGGAUCAUCUUGAGGUCCAAUGCACGGCGCCGUGGCCAAAUCUUGUAACCUCAGAUCAUCAGACCACAUCAAAGGGCUCUUGCCAGUGCCACUACCCCCAUUAUAAGGACUAGGCCUCUUCUUCCCGAGGCAAAUAUUAUCAUUACUCUGCAUGAAUCCAUGAUCUAGUGAUGAUUGCCUGUCCAUAUUUUGUUGGAGAUGAUCAAUUUGGUCACCUCCAUAUAGAUUAAGGUCUUGAAAUUGUGAAAAAUUAAGAGGAGGACAAAAAUCUUUCAUGGUUCCCACGUCGGGAACUGCCUGAUUUCCAAUAGUGCCCUUAAAACUUGCCGGUGUCACGGUUUCGCCAGAUGCUAGGGUUUGACAAGCUUUCUCCAAGAUUGACUGCAUAUAUUUUCCUUGAGCCUCAAUCCUUAACUGAAGGUGUCUUUGCACCUGCACGAGUAUAUAUGUCAAGUGCUUAAAGGAUUUGUUCUUAAUUUGAAGAUCCAAGAUGUACAAAUUUUAAUUAUUUACUUAAUUACCUCGAGCUGUUCGUGAAGUCUUCUCUGCACCUCCAUUUGCAUCCUAAUCGCAUCAACCAUGUGUGAGUUACUGUUAAAUACAGCCACACACACACAUUCCACAAGAAAUUAUCGGAACACCACACCCCAAAAAAUAAAAAAUGAAAAACAAAACUUAGGUGAUUAAUUCUUGUUAUUAUCGUUCGUCAAAACCAUCUAUCUAUAUUACAUGUGCUUGCUUCUUAAUUACUAGCUAGAUGGGACAUUUAAAAAAAAAAAAAGGUUUAAAAAUUGUAGGUAGCAGCACAUACUCAUUCAUGCUGCGACCGAUCACGCCAGAUGAAGAUGCAGUGUUUCGUUGAAGAUCUAAGCCUGAAGUUGGAAUGCAUAAAAAAAAAUUUUAAUUUUAUAAAAAAAAAUUGUUAAUAGUUAAUAGCUAAAUUAUUGGUAAAAGAAAGAAGGUCAUUAAAAGAAUAAAUGGGGAUAAUUCAUUAAAACCCUAGAAAGAAAGUAACCUCUCCUCUCUCCAGCUAGCUUACCGUCCUUUAUGGAGUGAUCAUUGAAUUCCUUGUGAGGUUGCUUGCCUAGCCUGAAUUUCUAAUUAAACCAAUAGAGGAGAAAUUAAAAUAAUAAUCAAAAGAAGAAGAAAAAGAAAAAGAAGAAGCCGCUGAUAUCGAAAACACGACCAAGUGGUAUUAAUUAGAUCAAAAGCAAAUUCAAAAAAGAUGUGCAUGCAAGAAAUAUUAAUUGUUCCAUUCAAACCUGAAGAUGGCUUUUUAGGUGGUAAAGCGUAAGCCCCUUCACACCCAUAACUCUCAUGAUAGUUUUUGGUGUGGCCUCUGAAAAUUCAUUACCAAUUAAACCAAUACAGAUUAACAUUAACAAGCGAAAAAGAUGAUUGAAAGAGAGGAGAAGUAUUGUAGUUGAAAAAUUAAUUAAAGAGAGUGAUAAAUUAAAAGAUUUAGUUUGAAGUAUUUACUAUCUGGUCCUCCAAGCUGAGUGACAGCAUCAACAAAGCGUUCAUGGAGCUCGACGGUCCAACGGAGACGAGGCUUAGGGUCAGUGGUGAGGACAAGGCCAGAAUCACCUUGAACACACAAGGGCCUAUCAUGAUGGGAAUUCAUAGAAGAGGGCUUCUUGUGGUGUUGGAACAUUAUUCUCUUUCUCUCUCUAAGAGGGGACUUGGAGAAUACAAAGAGAUUCAAGAACAAAUGCGAUGCAAAUAGAGGAGAAUAGGGUGCGUUUUUUAAGACGAGCUAGCUAGCUAAUGGCUUUGGUCAAGUUGAACGUAUAAGGUACAAGCCAACCUUGCAUAAAGGAAAAUGUAACACUUACAAUUUAUUUUAUAUAAUAAUAAUAAUCAACAAUUGAAAUAAAGUGCACCUAUUCUAAUAUGCAGCAGCCAUUCCUUUGCCAAAAAGAUUCUUUCUCUCUCUCUCUCUUCGAUAUACACACAUAUCAUAAUUCUAAGAUGUAACGUACUCAACAUACCGACAUGUAUCUCUGACAAUUUACAGAAACGAAAUAUCUCUAAUCACAUUUUCAUAGAGCAAACAAUUUUUUUUGGGGGUGGGGGGAGAUCAGGAUCUCUGCAUUGUAAUAAUAUUAAUGUACAUAUCUGUAAUGUCUGAGAGUAAUGUAUCUUUUUCCAUCACCUAAAGUAGAGUAUAUCUUUAUAGUUUUGUUCUUCUACCAUGUGAAACUUUUUAAUAAGCAUAAGAUAUGAUGAGUGAGACCCAUCAAGCAAUGAUGAUGGACUAUAUGUUACACUUUACUCUUCUUUCCUUGAACCGUUCUCUUCAAUAUAAGCAGUUAUAAAACAUAUAAAUAUAAUCUAGCCAUUAUAUAUGUGCAUCAUUAGAGAAUAGUACAAUCACCUUUUUAGCUUAUCAUGAACUAAUAACUCUCUCAGCUAUGAUGGUUAGAAGCACGAAGACUUUCUUUAUGUCAUUACCAAGAAAAAGGUUUCCUUGAUACUUGACAGGAUAGAAAAAAAUUCAUAAUAUUAUGAAAAAUGUAUCUGAUAUUAUGAUUAAAGAUUCUAUUAUUCUAUUAUUAGAUAUUAGAUUCAUGGCCAUUCUCAUGUUUGCUAUACAUAUUAAAUUGAUAAUAAAUCUCUUUCUCGUUCUAGCAUUUUGGUAAAUUAAUGAGGUCUUAUGUGAGUUAGAGGUUUAGUAACCAUAUCCAAAACUUUCUGGGAUGAAUCCCAUGGAAUCAAGUAUUCCCCAUUGCCACAUUAUGUGAUAUACUUAUGCAUGCCUUUAUUAUCAACAAAGUAUGGAUAAGAAACCAACAAGCGUGUAUAUCAGCUGACAUGGGGCUGUUUUAGUUUAACCAAGGUUCUCGGUUCGAGACUUGAGAAUGCAGCUACGUUAAAUACUUGUUGGGAGAACUUUGCCGCCCUAAUAGUUCUACUCAGCUCGAAUCUGGAUUAGUCAAGACCUAAUGUGGUCUUCGUAUACGAGAUAGUUUAAUAUACCAAAAAAAAAGUAUGGAUAAGAAUUUGAAAUUGAGCUUACAAGACAAAUAAUCAAAAUCUUUUUGGAUAAUAGGUGUGAAAUUAAGGCACUAGGCAACAUGAGAUGCAAGCAACUUUAGGGGUCUAUGUGGUUCUUAUUAUGUGAAUUUGUGAACAUCAAUGCAUAAAGGGCAACGAAUGUGGAGCUUUUGAUAAUAUGAGCAAGGGGACCUCUCAUUUUCUAAAGCUUCUUGGGACUCAACUUCUCAUAUCUUUUGUCGUUUUGAAGAUUGUCUUCUCAUCCAAACCAAUAUUAACGACAAAUAUCUAUUAAAUAAAUGACUUGAAUAGGUCAAACUCAACAUAUUGAGAAUGGACCCACUCUUAGUAAAAAAAAGAAGUGAAUGAAGAUGAGUAAAGAACAUUAUAAAGCUCUCCACAUCUCUCCUUUUUAAAGCUCAUGCAAGAUGUCAAAUCUAGCGGGAGAUGAUAAAAAAAAUUUAAAAAAUAAAAAAUUUGUGUGCUAUUUACCAAAAUCUAAAUGGGAAUAAAUGCUUUCUUCUUUGACAAUUAAAGGAGGAUUCUUCUUUGUAACCAUCUAAUUCACGACUUAUUCCAUUCUUGGAUCCGUUAUUGGCUAGGAUUAUGAUUUUUUGGCUAUGUAGUUUAAUUUUCUAAACAAUUCACAUAACAUUGCCACUCAUCAAUCUAAAUCAAGCCAAUGCAUAUAUGCAUGGUAUGUGAGAAUAAAAGAUUUACAAUGGAAGAUUGCUAAUUUCCCCCUAUUGUAAUCUAUAUAUAUCAUUGAUCCCAUUAACGUUUUUAGAACAACCAAUAACUGUUUAAUUUAGCAUGAAAAUUUUAAAGGAAAAGAAGCGUAAAUAUGUCAUUGCUUGGUAUUUUAUCUUGGGAAUAUAAAGUAUAUAUUUAUACAAGGAAAAAUAUUUAAAUAUAACAAAAAAAGUAUAAGAAAAAUAUCUUAUUAUCAAUUUUUUAUUUCCACUGAAACUUAUAUUUCUGAUUUUUAGUACAUAAAAAUUUUUAUUUUAAUUUUCAUUUGUAUAAUUUAUUUAAUUAAUAAUAAAUAUGAAUAAAAGUGUAUUUAAAAAUAAGACCAAUAUUAUAAAAUUAUAAUGCCAAAUGAUUUAUUAACUAUUAUGAAAACAGGAAGAAAAUAAAUAGUAUAUAUUGAUUUCAGUAGUGGGGGAAAUUGAUAAUAUCCAGAUUUACAACAUUGAAGUUCAAUUUCUCAUAUCUAUUGUAAGGCCAGCCCCAAUAGCUUUCCUUUGUGAAUAAUAUGAAAUUGCCUUAUGUUUGGGCAGUUGUCUGUCCAUAUGUAAAGAAAAGCAAAGGCAUUAAUUCAUUUAAGAUUUGGAGAUUCCUCUUUAGACUACAAUUGUCACACAUAGCUGUCCGCUGCAUAAUAUAAUCAAGCAAAGUUAGAGUUUAACUUUUAGUUCUCGAUAUUACUUAACUAAAAUCUAUAAUCCAGAGAACAAAAAGAAAAAAAUAAAUAAAUAAAUAAAGGGAAAGGGAAAGGGCAAAAAAAAAAAAAGUUGAGUUGGCUUAAUGUUAAGGCCAUGUUUGCUUGAAUUUCAAGCAUCUAGAGAAUUAUUCUUUAAAAUGAAUAUAUUCCUUUUGAUGGGGAAUUUGCGGGUCCCAUCUUUAUGUUCCAUUUAGAAUACUUUACAAAGCCUCUCUCUUUUCUAUCUGGUUUCUCACUUUCCUAAUGGGAAUUGAUUGUGUGCUGCGUUAUCCAUUUCCCGUACUUAAUGGUCUGCAACGGAAAUCCUCAAAUCACAUUACAUGAUCUCGGUGAUUGAUAUUUUCUUGACCUUAAAGUAGAACCAUAGAAAUUGAUUCAUGCAAUAAGAUGCAAGUUAGCUUGCAGGUGAAGGCAUUGAAGGGCAACUUUUGAGUGCAUAGUAUACAAUUUGUGGUGAAAAUUAAGUUACAAUAUUUUUGUGUGUAUUCAAUUGUUAUGUUGCAGAAAGAAUCUAUUACCAAAUGAUGUGACUUUUCAUACCUCUAUUAAAUUAACAUAGAUAGAUAUUUAUAUUAUAUUAAUCUACAUGAUAUGCUCAAAGUUUGUCGAAAUAUGUAGUAAGACUCGGACGAUUCAGGAAAUGAACACAAAAAACUCUUGCUCCUCAAAUUUUCGGGUCAUUCAGGGACAUCGAAUCUAAUGUUUUAUUUAGUAUCAACCAUAACAGCUCAAACAAGAACUGUGUGUUCUCACUCCUCGAAACAUUCGGGGUUUGUUUGUACAUAUUAGAACAAUCCAUGGAGAUUUGGAUGUCCUAUUCUUCUCUGGUAACAUUUUAAAAGAGAAGGAAUUGGUAUUGGUUCUGGACUCUCUUUUUAACUGAAAUGUGGGACUCCAAUUUUGUUAAGGUUGGCUGGAUAGUCCUGAAUCAUAUCAUGAAAUGAGCUAGCGGCCCAGGCUCUUCCCUAUCAUAUGAUCUGAUUUGCAAUGAGUCUGGUUUCUUGAGUUCAUCAAGUUACCAUCAUCGCAAAAUAUACGUACCAAACAGUUUAUACUGUGUUGUCACAAACACAAGCGAUUCCACCAACAAAACCUUUACAAAUUGUUAUGCAAAGAGAGUACUGAAGCAACACUGUUACAGAAAGAUGGGGGGGUAUAAAUACCAUGGAAUCUUGAUUCAUAUCUGAUCAAGAGAAACAUAACCCCGCGGAAAUGUAAUGAUACCAAAAGAAGAAAAGUUCUUUCCCAUUAGGUUUUGGGUGUUGACGGCAAAAUCUUUAUGACACCAGACAUUCAAGUUCCAUUUUGCAAACUUAUUUAUGUACAUGGGGUAUCAAUAGCAAACCACCUAUGGCUCACUACUAGACAUUCAAGUUCCAUUUUGCAAACUUAUUUAUGUACAUGGGGUAUCAAUAGCAAACCAACUAUGGCUCACUACUACCUCCACAUCAAACGCUUGAGGCUCACACUAUUCCAAUCCGUCUUCAAAAUACAGUUCAAAGGCAGUACUAAAGGCUCCUUCCUUCUGCAUAAAAUAAAUCAUUUAACUUUAAAAACAAAUGUUGUCAAAUAAAAGUCAACUAAGUGGAGCUACAAGAUCCAAACCUUCUCCAUAAGCCCGGUAACAUACAGGUACAAAACUGGCCCAUCAUUUUCUGUUCAUGUCUCCCAAGCACACAUAUUUUAUCUGCAUAUAAUGAAAGGAUGCUUCAAUACGAUCACCACAGAAAAGUAAAACCCAAAUUUCUUGACGAUUCUUUCAGGUCCUUGGUGUUAUGCAAAAUAAAAUAAAUAGUACACAAAGAAAAAAAAUCAAACAACUCAUAUAAAUCAUUCUAAAAAAUGGUAGUUGUGGCUCCAUUACAGUAGCAAGUCAUUCAGAUUUGUGGCAUCAGUGAUGAAUAAAUGUAAUUCCUACAGAUGAACCAAGUCAAAUGCAAUCCACUAACUCAAUAAAAUCCCCAGAAAAUACGGGGAAAGUUGAUUACGUCAUUUUAACUUCCCUAAAAUUUUUAAAAAUUUAUAUAAAACGGUAUUUUCAUUUUACUUACUUCCAGGAAUUCAUCCAUCCCAUACUUUGAACCUUCCCGUCCAAGACCAGAUUGUUUAACACCACCAAAAGGAGCCACCUACAAUGAAACAAACAAGUAAUAAGCAAUCUGCAAGUUUCUUUUAUUGUUUAUGCAUCGGUGAAACCAAAUAAGGCCAACCUCUGUUGAAAUUAAUCCUUCAUUAACACCAACGAGUCCAUAUUCUAGAGCUUCAGAGACACGCCAUGUACGUUGAAGAUUGUUUGUAAAUAUAUAAGCAGCUAACCCUGAAUAUUACACAUUGAAGAGGAAAAUAUGUUGCUAAUCAUUCAAAAUGUGAAUUCGUUAAGGUUACCAAUCAACUGCGAUUGCAGAAUUAGGUAGGCAACACGUUAUGCUUUCUUUAGUAAAUUUGAGAAAUCAGAUUUGACAAAAGAACCUGCAUUGGUAUCAUUGGCCAUAUGGAUAGCUUCCUCCUCAGUUUUGAAGCAUAGAAGUGGGGCCACAGGUCCGAAUACUUCCUCUCUGAGGUAACAAUAUAUGUCGUAAGACACAAACCAAAUUGCUAGAUCUAAUCAAACUUUUGCAGACUGACAUAUUUACGUGAUAACAUCUAUAAAUGGAGAGAAGUGAUUUAAAUAACUCUAGCUAUUCCAACUACUCUAAAGAAAAAAAAGGAAAGGAUUCAAUAAUUAUUAUCUGCCCAAUAAGAAAUUCAAAUACAAAUUGGUUUCUUCUCUUGGAAAUUCAGGAAUGAUCAUAAAAGAAAUUUCUAGAUAGAAGAACAGGGAAAAUUUUAGAGAGAGAGGUGUUUGUCUCUCAGUGAUAGUUUGUUGUUUCUUAGUCCAUUACGUUGGUUCUAGAAUAAAUAUCAAACUAAUUAACUAUUAUUCCCUCAGCAUUUGCCAAGAACAUUAGAAAUACCCUAAUCUGAGAUUCAUUGCAGUAAAGGAUAAUUACCCAAACAAAUAUUAAUAUUGAUAAUAUCAACUUAAUUGUAGCUUAUCAUGCAAGGCUUACCUCGAAACAAGCAUCUCACUCUUGACAUUGCUAAGGACUGUAGGCUCAUAAAAUGUCAUUCCAAGGCUAUGUCUUCUACCCCCAAGAAGGACUUUUGCUCCCUUCAAAUAAAAUUAAGGUCAAUCAAAUGUUUUACUGAAAGCACUACAGUAAAAAUUUCCCAUACCAAUAAAUAAUAGUUCCUAGCUAGGCAGGAAGAGAAAAUAGAACAUAGCAAUGCAAUGCUAAUUGAAACCGACAUGUACAGCAAUCCAGACUAUUCAUUGCUUUUGUUCUUGGUGAACAGUAACACAAUACAGGAUAAACCAAUAAAUAUAACAUAUUGAUACUGUCCAAGGUCCUUUCAGGAAAAAGGUGGGCCAACAGGUCAUGUCUCUUCUUAAUGAUGUAAAAUAUGCAAGAUCUUCCAUGUAAAUUGCCAGCAGGCCACAUGUCCGACCUUUUUAGUUCAUCAUAUGAACUACCAAAACAAACAGCAGUACUCCUAGAUUAUAACUUAAAGAGGAAAACGAAAUACACAAAACAAUCAACGUUACACAAAAAGAACAUUACUCUGGACAAUUUUCAAGAUGGUACUACUUCAGAAGAAAUAACAGUUCUUGGCACCAAAAUAAACACUACUAUAUCCAAUAAAAUAGGAGAGGAAACAAACCUUGGAAACAGCAUCUUCCACAAAAGUUUCAACCUGUCAAAGUUCCAGAGCAACCAAAUGGAGCAGAAAUCUAUUUAUCAAAGACUGGAAGCAGACACAGAUACAGCAGUAGCUGGUAACUUAAAAAUUCCAAGAGUAUAUCUGACCUUUUCCAAUGCAGCUUUAUUAAUUAGUGGACCCUGUGUAGAAAUCAAAAGUUAAACAUAUGAUCCGAUGAAGUUCAAAGUCAUAAUGAAAGGAAAAAAAUAACAAGCUUACAUAAAACUGCAUAAAGAAUUUCAUAUAUCUACAAAUUUAGUAAUGCGAGUUAAUCCAAGGCCAAACAUAUACUCAUGGAAAAAGAAACAUACAAAUGGAUUACUAUUUCAAGCAAAUUCAUUGUAAUAGGAUCAUUAAUAAGUUGCACGCACAUUUCAUCAAUGGAUAAGUGGCAUUAUCCAUAUAUCUGUACCAGAUGUCAAAAAGUAGAAUAACAUCAAACAGAUGAGAAGAUCAAUGAUGCAACCACAACAUUCAUUUCAGUGAAAAAGUAAAGGAUGAAUACCUGGACUACACCUUCGCCAAAGCCAUCCCCCACCUUCAGGUUCUUGACGGCUUUUGAAAAAGCAUCUGCAAAUUUCUCAUAAAUGCCUGCACAAAAUGCCUGCGUAAAUUUACACAAGAAAGCGACCAGAUAAUACAUUUUAAAACCAAUAACAAAAAUAUUUUCACAUUGAGGAGAAAAAUGAAACCGAGAACAUAACUAUAUUAUUAAGAAAAAAAAUCGUUAAUCCAUAAUCCAUCUUUAACAUAUGUCCACAUAUACCUUCUUGAACAAGUACUCUGUUUGCACAUACACAGGUCUGCCCACUGUUACGAAACUUUGCCGCAAGCUGCAUAAAUGAAUUUGAUUAGCAUUACCAUGGGGAGAACACUUCCCAAUAAUUAAGAAUGCAAAAAAAAGUAAGGUUUCUGCCAACUAGGUUUAGGUAUUUACAAAAUAAGUAAUAGUGAGCUCUGCUAAAAUAGAAUAUUGGUUUAUACUAAAGAAAUACAGCUACUAACCACAAGAUAUGGAAACUAGUUAAAUGGAAUCUAAAUUCUAGUAGCUAAUCAUUGUAGAAUGAUAGAUCUGUAAACUCAAAAUUAUCAAAGUGAAUGUAUCAGUUUAUUGUUCAAACCAUUUGAAAAGACCUUGACCAGCACAAAUGUAAAUAAUGUCAUUCUAUUUCUAAAACUGAUGCCCGUAACAUAGAAAAAAGUAAAAUACAUAACCCUGACUAGAGUACUAGACUUUUGAGCAUAAUAUGUGUCCUCGUGGGGUAUUUAUCAUUUAAUUGCAUACUUAGUGUUGCAGUACAACUCCUAAGGCAGAAUAAAAAAAAAGUGACAAAGUUUAUCAUUUAAAUGAAUACUUUUGAAACAAAAAUUGAGGGAACAAGAAUAUUAAAUGUUGUCAUUUUUUAUCAGGGUCUGAUUUAGUUGUCCUCCAUUGACAAACGGAUCUAGCAUGAGAGCAAACUAUUAAAAUAAGUAUGCUUAGAGAAUCACUUUUCUUUUGCUUUGCAUAAGAAACUUAUAGACAAUCCAACUCACCGCUCCAUUGACUGCCACAUUCAGGUCUGCAUCAUCAAAGACUAUGCAGGGUGCAUUGCCACCAAGCUCUAAAGAUACCUAAAGGAGACAAGUUAAGAGCAUCAAGCUAAUAUGGUGAUAUCUAAAGCCUCCUCGCUUAGGGUUACACAUUACUGUCAUACCCUACACACCUUUUUAACAGUCCCUGCAGCUCCCGCCAUCAGUUUCUUUCCAACAGCCGUUGAGCCAGUAAAUGUAAUCUUCCUCACCUGAAUAAGUUAUUCAAAGCUACUCAAAGUUUCUACAAUUUGUAUAUCUGACAAUCACCCAUGAGAUUAACAAAAGGUCACUUAAUAAAAAGUUUGGGAGAUAUCUUAAGAAAGUAAAACCUGUGGGCUCGUGAGCAAAGCAUCACCAAUAUCAGGAGCAUUCCCCAUAACCACAUUCACAACACCCUGAAAAAGUACAAAAAUAAGAAUAAUCAAAUUAAUGACAAAACAGAAAUUUCAAUUAAAAAUUACUACUUUUAGUCAAGUCAAUAGUCCCCAACUCAAGAAGGUCCAGCUGAGAGUACUAAUUCCCCUAUACAUCAAUGCAUUUCAGUGUACAGCAAUGGUUUAGCUUACAAGAGCCAAAUGAACAGCAAACUUCCAAAAUUCUCUUUAAGAAUUACCGGUGGGAUUCCAGCCUGCAAGGCGAGCUCAGCUGCUGCUAAAGCACUGAGAGGUGUAAAUUCAGAGGGUUUUAGAACCACUGUACAACCACAAGCAAGGGCCGGACCAACCUGUUAAAAAUAUCAAUACAAACACUCAACUUAUAUGAUAAAAGGCUGGCUGCUUUUAAAACAGUUAUACAUGUGUGUGCAAACUAUUUAAAAAAAAAAAAAUUCUGAGACAAUAACUUAAAAUUGCACAAGUGGAAACACCUUUCGGGUAAUCAUAGCCAAGGGAAAGUUCCACGGUGUAAUUGCACCAGCAACACCUACAGGCUGCGCAUAAAAACAAUGAAAAGUAGAUUAUAUAAGAAGAUCACACAAUGUCUAACAAAGAGUAUGAAAAAGUUUAAUAUCAAGAAUUGCCCAUCUAAAAGCAAAUACAAAAACAUAAGAAAUCAAAUAUCAGCUUUCCAGUUUCCAGAUCCUCAAGCAAGAUAAAGCAGAUGAAAGAUUGCAAAAACUAUUUAAAAAGGAGACAAAAAUAACAUCUUCCAAAGAAGGAGAAUUAAUUCUUUAAAGGCGGUUUAAAACCUAUAUGGUUCAAUUCAAGCUUAUUGCCAAUAAUUACUUCAAUAAAUCCGAAAAAGUUGGAUGUUGGAAGGAUUUGUGUCACACGAUGACUGACUUCCCUAACCGCUUAUGAUAUCCUAGCACUUAGAAGGUUUAAAGUGCAUGCUAUUCCUCACAUGAUUUUUGAGGAAGAUUGAGUCGACAAAAGUCAACCUGAUGGAAAGCUGCGUCAACAGCCCUUGGAUAGAGUAUUUCUGUUAUCAUCUUGUGCUAAUGGAUUCUCAAAUCAUAGAAUAGAGAAGCAGAUUGUUUGAUUAAAGGUGUGGUUGAAUUGAAAUUCCACAUGACACUAAUAUUUUGAGUGGAAGUAAACAAAAAUUUAUCAAAAGAAUUAAUUCACUGAUACGUGGUAAUGAUAUAGGACUUGAAAACAAAAGGCCACCUGCUUUAGAACAAAUAUCCGGCGAUCAGGCAGAGUUGCUGGAAUUAUAUCACCAUAUACACGUUUCGCCUCCUCUGCAUAGAACUCAAUAAACUUGGCUCCAUAGUCAACCUGUAUGUUAAAUCCAAAAAUGUAAACAUUGAAAAUAAUAAAAAAUCAACAACAAAACAAAAAUAUGUGGGGUAUACCGAUUACUUAAAUUCCUAAAGGCAAACUUUUAAUGGUUUACCUCUCCGACAGCUUCUUUAAGAGGUUUCCCCUGCUCCAAUGUUAUUAGUUGGCCAAGCUCUUCUUUGUGAGCCAUCAGUAGAUCAUACCUUAGAAUAGAUAUAAAGAAAAAUUAUAUCAAGGUCUAUGUGAGAGAACAGAAUCUCCCAGCACCAGAACCAAUUGUAUGCCAUGUUAUAAUUAGGCACAUAAUUAAACUUCAACGGAAACUUUAAUCAAAGCAAGUCAACAAUGCUUUUGGUAUGAAUAAUAAGCAUCUUAUUAAAAGGAAAAAAAAAAAGCUUUCAGGAUAAAUUGCCAAAAAAUCAUCAACGGAAAAGAGUCACCUUAAAAGCACAAUAAUAAGUUUUCCAAAGUCUUUGAGCAAAAAUACAUAAAGAAGCAUUCAAAUGUGAAAUUCUGUGAAAUUUUCUCUCUUCAUGUUCUGGAAAUUAACACACCCACACAUAUUACACAAAACUCUAUAAAUACUAAGCAUGCUCUGGUCUGCACCCACUUUUUAAGAUCAUUCUAGAUAUUCUAUCAAAGCAGAUGGUCAAGGAUAUAGGUUAUACCAUUUCCGCAAACCCUUGCUUCUCUCAGCAGCAGUAAGCUUGCUCCAAGCUACACAGAUAAUAGGCCAAAAUUAAGCAACACACUAAUUACUAAUCACAUAAAUAUCCCAGAUCCCAGAUACUAUAAACCAAAAAUAAGCCCCCUAGCUAAUUUGGUUAUGAAUAUCCUUCAGCACCAAGGUUAGCAAAUAAAGAGCUUAGCAUUCUAAGCAAGACUAACAGCAUCAAGUGGAUUCAGAAAAAAAUUGAUUGGCGUUCCGUCAAUGCUCCUAAAUAUUUGCUUCUAACGAGUGUUAUCCAGUAACCUUCAGUAGUAGGUUCCAAGUUGCAAUACCAAUCCUCUCUAGAAGGAAAAAAGCACACUUCAUUUUACAGAUGACUUAUCAUUGAGAAUGAAUGGACAUCUGCUUUAUAUUUUUCUUUAACAAAGAAGUAUCAUGCAAUAGAUAUGAAUCAAGAAAGACAUUACUUCAGGAACCACCGAGGUACUACAGGUACAAAAAUCAAAUAGAGUCAAGUUGUAAAUUUCAAAGUUCCAAUGGCAUUUUUUGGUAAUAUUAAAGCAUUACAAGCAUUGAUGGUUUAGUUUGUCAAAAAUAGGCUAAAUGCUGCGAAAGAGUAAAUCAUAUACGCACAGAUGUUCAGUCACAAGUUCUUACAAUUAAACGCAUCAAAAGCCGAAGAUAUAGCAUCUUUUGUUUCCUUUCCUCCCAUACACGAUACAUUUGCUAUCACUUCGCCAGUUGCUGGAUUGUGGACCUGUCAUAAAAUGAAAUACAUUUAAUUGACGUUAUAAAAACACACACUAUGGAACCAAUAUACUUGCAUAAUACGGCAUCUACUAAGUCUUUUGUGUUUUCCAAAAAGUUCUGACAUGGAGGACUCCAAGUAGUCAAAGAUUCAACCCAAUAUAGUUGCAAAUUAAGAAGAACAUUGUAGAAGAAAAUAAAUUAUUUUUCUCCAAACCUCCAGAGUCUUCCCAUCAUAUGCAUCAAUCCAUUUCCCUCCAAUAAGACCCUGAGUCCGUAAAAGGCCAGAAUCACGAAGCCGGUCAGUAACGCUCUUCAUCCCCACACUCAUCUGGCAUACAAUUCCCUUGUUUAGAAAUUUCACAAACCUUUCCUUUCAGCUAUACAUUGAAAAAAAUUUCCCAAAGUGCAGAAUUGGAACACUAAAGAAACUGAAAAGCUAGCACCGUUAAACAACAUAUAUUACAUCUUAAAUGACAUUAAGAGAACAAAAGACCUUUGAUUCAAAGAGACUGAAAAAUUCAUAACAACCCAAGACAGCUCUACGAAAGAAAAACAUGUAAUGUCAUAGCUGCAUUCAGUCAAUCGAUCAUACACAACAUCAUCUCAAUUAUGAAAAAAAAAAACACGAAAUCAAGCAGCUGAGUAAACACUAUCCCAAAAUGAUCAGUUGAUCACCCUCAGAUUAACCAAAUAUUUCAAUAAAACUGAGUUUUGAACAUUCAUAUGGAUAGAACAGUACCCAGAACGCAUAACAAACUUUCUCAGAUACAAAAAGAGUAGCAAGGCUGAUCGGUUAGUAUAUAAUUUUGAAAAAAAAAAAAAAAAGGCCAAGUCAAGUGCUUGCCUGGCGAGAGAAAGCAGGAGUGUAGCUCUGCAUGCUUGGCAAAUGUGAUGCGAAAAUCCUGCGAGAGCCCACAAAUGCCACACGUGCCACUCCACUCAACGUCAUCUUCGUCCUUUGUUUGGUGUACUACUCUUUUAUUACUGUUUCGCGUGAUGACAACUGAACUGAAAUGAAAGAUUCGAUUUGGGAUCUUUGAUCCCAAAAGUUGCAGGAUUUUUGUUUGUAAAUACGACCCGCAUUCAGCAAGUUCACUAUUUUUUAUCAUCGAUUCACUAUCUACUGACGUGUGAUAUCGAUAAGCGUUACGUCAUUAUUAUUUACUGGGAUUAAAAAAUAAAAAUGUAUUAUUAUUAUUACAUAUUUGAGCUUGUUUAUGUCGAAUUGGACCUUGGGCCCAGUGACGAAAGCACAAAGUUUGGGUUCGGAUCCAAGUUGAUUUGUCGAUGAGUAGGCCUCAGGCCUAGUUGAAAAAUGGAACGAAGGCCCCAUGACUUUAGUCCCACGGUGGCUGAAUGGGCCAGUUGGGUAAGAGAUUUUGGAUGAUGAGGAUAACAUUAUUAUUGUUUAUAAUUAAUUAUGACAAUAUUAUCAUUGUAACAGUGGUGACGAGUGAAUUUUUUUUUUUUUUAAACACGCGAUAUGAAAAUGAAAUGAUUCUUUUAGUACAAUUCUAUUAAAAUCUUCCUCGUAAUAUUCUUUAUAAAAUGAGAAAGUUUUAAAUUAAUACGAAACAAAACUUUUAGUAGAGAAGAUAUUUUUUUGUAGAUUAAGGUUCUCUCAUGAUCUGAUUUCUUUUUAAAUAAAAAUACACAUAAAUAAUUAGUAGUUAAUAAAUAAAGAAAAUAAAAAAGUUAAAUAAAAUUGAUACACUAUCACUUAAAUACACAUGCCACAAGAUUAUUAAAAGCUCAUGAGAACUCAGAUUAAGAGAGGAUCUUUAUUUAUUUCUUGCGUGCAAAUAUUUAUUUUCUCCCAUACUAAUAAAGAUUUAAUGGUAUAUUUAAUUAUGUUGUAAUGAAUUUUCUAUAAAUCAAUUUAAAGGUGAAACCAAUCUGCUGGAAUAAAAAUUAUAUUUGCUUGUUUGAGUUAAAAAAAAAAAGGGGGGGUAGGGGGGAUUCCAAAAAUGCAAGCACAUCGCAUUGAAUUUUCAAAUAAUGUCACCCGACCCAACUUAUCCUAAUACAUCAACAACCGGUUCAAAAAAUGUGUCCUUUAAAUUAUUCAAUGCAUAUUCCAAAUCCAACAAAAAUUAAAAUAUAAAUAAAAAAAGGAGGGCUAGUAGUGUUAUGUUAUAUAUAUUUUUAAAUAAAUAAUUGGGAUACUAAUUCAAUUUAUUUAAUUAAAAAAGAAAAGAAAGAGAAAAAACCAAGUCCAGGCGUGUUCUUUUUCGCUUAUUGUUGUACAUCUCUGACCAAUUUUCUUUUUCUUUCUUCUAGACUCGUAGUUGUAGAGCUGGCUCAGGCUUUGGAGUGGAGAUGCAGAAACUUCUGCUUCCUAUCGUCUUCGUUUUCAAAGUCAAAACAAGAGCAAACCAAAUCAAACCGGAGCAUCAUAUUUAAAUUGAAAUUAUAUAUAUAUAUAUAUAUAUAUAUAUAAAAAAAACUCAUAAGCCAACUUUCUUGUACUGCU
rnacentral:lncRNA from 1 species